rnacentral:rRNA from 1 species
UACGUAGGUGGCAAGCGUUGUCCGGAUUUACUGGGCGUAAAGAGCGCGCAGGCGGUCGUUCAAGUCGCGUGUGAAAGCCCCCGGCUCAACUGGGGAGGGUCACGCGAUACUGAUCGACUCGAAGGCAGGAGAGGGAAGUGGAAUUCCCGGUGUAGUGGUGAAAUGCGUAGAUAUCGGGAGGAACACCUGUGGCGAAGGCGGCCGACUGGGCCGACCCUGACGCUGAGGCGCGAAGGCGUGGGGGAGCGAACGGG